rnacentral:lncRNA from 1 species
CUUCACUCUUAUAUAUAACAUAUCUAUUCUAUUUCCAAAACCUCUAACCACCAUAUAAAUUAUCCAAGAUAAUCUAGUUCCACUAUCUUCAUUUGGAAACCUGAGUUCCUUGCUUACUUAAUAAGCAUUAGUGUUUUUGCGUAUAGCAUCAUCCCUUUCUUUACGUUGGAGAUAAUAAAGAGUGAUGGAGCACCGACAAUCGAAGUUGCCUGAAUCUAACACAGCGAGAUACAGGUAAGGAGGUUAAUGUUUGAGAAAAAAUACUUUUUGAAAAUUGAUGUUGUUAAAGACCAUGGCCAGAUCUGAUUCUUUUGCAGUUUUAGUUACUAAAUCUAAUGUUAGAUUAGAGCUUUGACAAUAAUUACAGUUACUUCUUUCCUUUGGAGUCUGGGAUAAUGAUUCAAACUUAAUAUGAAUAGGAACAGGCAACUACACUCGAUCUCAGCAGCACGUGAAUGGUGCAUAACGUUAAGUUUUAAGUCUCCUACAGGAGUAACCAGCUUCAAGGAAGAAAACCUAUACUUCCUUUCAUUUACAAAGUACCUUAAGAAUUCUAUCUAUAGGCUGUACAAUAUCCUGUCACAAAAACCAUUUUUUAUGACUAUGUAUCAUUCAUAACUACGUCAGAAUCCUAUAUCAAAUUCCAGAGAAGCCCUGGUCCAAACCAACCAAGAGAAACCCAAAAGAGUAAGGCAGAACAGAAAUGGGUUAACACCAUUAAGUUCCGCAACUACUGAGUCGCUGAGCUAAUUGUUCAACCAAAUCUACUUUUCGAAGCUUAUAGUACUUUCUUACAUUGUGUUCCUUUGCCAUGGCCCUCAAAUCAGUCAAUGUCAAGCUAUUCAAAGAUGAGGUCUCAUCAUGGGAAUCCACCAAGGAAUGUGACUUGUUAGUAUGAGGAGCUAACUGGUUUUUGUUGUCCAAAGAAACCCCCUCUGAAUUUGGUACGUCUAAAUUAACACUUGAAUUUUGUAUGUCCACGGUGAUAGGCAACUUUGUAACUCUUCGUUUCUUUUGUAAUUCAGAAAAUUUACUAUCAUAAAGAACAAUAGCACGACCUUCAGUCUCAUGCUUGUCUGGUUGCACUGUCCCUCUAGUAGUAAUCUUCCGGUUCAUUGGCUCAUUUAAAAUGGUAACAUCAGUACAGGAUUUGGAUCUUCGCUGCCUCUUGGUUGAUACAAUUAUAGAUGUACUUGGAAUAACUUCCGUACAACUGUCAAAUGGUUCUCUGGAAGAUAAUGCCCCUAGUUCCAGUUUCUGCUUUUCCGAAGCUUUUAGCUUUGAAGGUAAAAGCAUGUUGGACUUUCUGAGGUUAGUAGUAAGUUGGGAUUUAAGGUCUUGUUCAUGUUCUUCCCCUUCACCUUCAUCCAUCAGCUGUAACCCAGCAUACAGUGCACUCUUGGUAUGCAUCCCUAUCAGUGAAAUCAAUGCAGAAUUUUCAGCAUUAAUAAGGGGUGGUGUUUUCAAUGUUGAGCACUAGUCCAGAAUUAUUACCAUUGCUAUCUUUAAAGGAGCAUAAUUCUGUAUCAGUGAUACAUAAUGUUUUAGGAUAAACAACUUGCAAAGGGAAAUUCAGAGGCUUCAAAUCUUCAUCUGGAGCAACCUUGGGUUCUUUGCUGUCGUCUCUUUGUGCAGCUGUUGGAGCAAAAUCACAUAGAUCUUUGUCUAAAUUGAAUUUUCCUCGUUUUUGUUGUUGUGAAGUAUCUAAAAUGGAAUGUGGACCCGUUUUCUUCCUACUGAUGUCAAUUGCAGGUCUAAAAUCAUCUGGGCUAACAUCUUUUUCUUUGACAAAUUCAUUUUCUUUCUGCACAAUUUAAGAAAAAUAUGCACUAAAAACCUUGUCUAAAAUUAAAAGUAAAAUGCUAACUGAUACAUACAAUAAGUUUAAAUUGAUUAGAAGGGGAGCAGCACUUCUUGCACCUUGGCUUCACUUUUGGCGCAAAACAAAUCCAUUAGACCUGUAUUUGUAUUAAUGAGUUGGCUUUUUCUGACUUCAUUUCCAGCAACUUGAUCAUCAAAUGUUUCUGAUAAUUUCAUUCUUUCAGAGUGGUAGGAUGCAAGAAUAAUGCCCCCCAAAUCAGGACUUCUCACAAGUGUUUCUUCAGACAAUUCCUUAAGAAAAAAAGAAAUCUAGUCAAAUGUAUCAUGCAUAAAAAUGGCUACCAAGGUUAGACCUUAAAAAAAUAGUAAAAAUAAAACAAUACAGUUUGUCAACGCAAGCUCAAUGUAAAGUCAGAAACCUGCUAUCGGCCUACCACUUACUGGGAUUUACUCUAUUUAGCUUAGGUUUCAACGCCAAACAAGUUCAUACUGUCAGGUUAAUCCCUUCUUAAAUGCUCCUUAAAGUUAAAGUUCUAAAGAAAAGCUUAAAAUAAAAAUCUGUUUGACCAUUAUAGUUUGAAAGCUCCUUUAAAAUUAAAACCUGCUUCUUUGUCCUAUGCUGAUUAGUUCAAGAUAAGGAGGCCUAAAUGUGAAGCUGUUUAGAAGCUACUUAUUUACCCGCCAUUUCUCUUAUAGAAAAUAUUGUCCUUAAUUUUACAGCUUCUCCUUAUAAAGAGAGAAAAAAAAAAAAAAAACUAGAAAGAAAAAAACUAGGUCAUAGCUGAUAUCUGAUGGCUCAUAGUUGACAGGCAACACAAGGUGGAUCUAAAAUUAACUUGUUUCUUGAGUUACUUCCUCAAGUUCCAUCUGAAUGGAGACUGCCAAUAUACUCUCCUCUACGGGUAGCCAGCUAGGUCAUGGAAUUUCGGGGUGUAAGCUUUUCAUGUUCUUUGAAGUCUGCUUGUCAUUAGACACAACUGUGAGCAUUGACCAAAAAUCAGUUUAGGUAAUUGGACCUAAAAGUAACAAUAUAUCAAGUUUUCAAUUGGAUAAUGGAACACUCAAAUUUUUUGAAUGCUAUUAGUAGUGACAAAUAUCCAAUGCCUAAAUCAUGGCCUUAGAUGUAGGCUAGAAAGAGCCAAAGAAUCACUGCACACUUAUGUUAAACUAGUACGAUUAAGAGCAAAUGCAUAUGAGAUGUCAAUCAAUCAUCACACAAACAUAUAAAAUAAACAUUAUUCUUAAAAGUCUAAUAUUACAGACUCCAUGUGCUAAAAAAUUUGAGAAAAAAACAUUGGUGCAGCAAUUAAUUAUUUAAAAUAAGUGUUUUUUAAUUCGAUUAACACAUGGAGGAAUAGAAAAUAAUUGUUUUUAAAUUAAAUUUAGUAACAUCUUUCUCUACCUCAAUCUUUUCAGGAUUAUCUGAUUUCUUUUGAAGCUCCAAAAGAAGUUCCAAGCUUCCAGAGAUUUCUGAGGUUCCAUGGAGAUCUUUUCCUUCCUCCUUAAUGAUCUUAUUAGAAUCAAUGGUGCUAGAAUCUUUG